GCCCGCUUAGCUCAGUGGUAGAGCGCGCCACUUGUAUGAACUUGUCAGCGGUUAUGGUGAGGUCGGUUGUUCAAUCCAGCCAGUGGGCA